UACGGAGGAUGCAAGCGUUGUCCGGAUUCAUUGGGUUUAAAGGGUGCGUAGGCGGAGAAUUAAGUCAGUGGUGAAAGCUCGCAGCUUAACUGUGAAAAUGCCAUUAAACUGAUUUUCUUGAGUUCGAUUGAGGUAGAUGGAAUGUAUCAUGUAGCGGUGAAAUGCUUAGAUAUGAUACAGAAACACCAAUUUGCGAAGGCAGUCUACUAAGUCGAUACUGACGCUGAGGCACGAAAGCAUGGGGGAGCAAACAGG
rnacentral:rRNA from 1 species